rnacentral:rRNA from 1 species
GACGAACGCUGGCGGCGUGCUUAACACAUGCAAGUCGAACGAUGAUGCUGGAGCUUGCUCCAGUUGAUUAGUGGCGAACGGGUGAGUAACACGUGAGCAAUCUGCCCUUGACUCUGGGAUAACUGCGGGAAACUGUAGCUAAUACCGGAUACUUUCACCGGAAGGCAUCUUCUGGUGAUGAAAGAAUUUCGGUCAGGGAUGAGCUCGCGGCCUAUCAGCUUGUUGGUGAGGUAACGGCUCACCAAGGCGACGACGGGUAACCGGCCUGAGAGGGUGCCCGGUCACAAUGGGACUGAGACACGGCCCAGACUCCUACGGGAGGCAGCAGUGGGGAAUAUUGCACAAUGGGCGCAAGCCUGAUGCAGCAACGCCGCGUGAGGGAUGAAGGCCUUCGGGUUGUAAACCUCUUUUAGCAGGGAAGAAGCGAAAGUGACGGUACCUGCAGAAAAAGCACCGGCUAACUACGUGCCAGCCGCCGCGGUAA